GAUGAACGCUGGCGGCGUGCCUAAUACAUGCAAGUCGAGCGAACAGACGAGGAGCUUGCUUCUCUGACGUUAGCGGCGGACGGGUGAGUAACACGUGGAUAACCUACCUAUAAGACUGGGAUAACUUCGGGAGACCGGAGCUAAUACCGGAUAAUAUAUUGAACCGCAUGGUUCAAUAGUGAAAGACGGUUUUGCUGUCACUUAUAGAUGGAUCCGCGCCGCAUUAGCUAGUUGGUAAGGUAACGGCUUACCAAGGCAACGAUGCGUAGCCGACCUGAGAGGGUGAUCGGCCACACUGGAACUGAGACACGGUCCAGACUCCUACGGGAGGCAGCAGUAGGGAAUCUUCCGCAAUGGGCGAAAGCCUGACGGAGCAACGCCGCGUGAGUGAUGAAGGUCUUCGGAUCGUAAAACUCUGUUAUUAGGGAAGAACAAAUGUGUAAGUAACUAUGCACGUCUUGACGGUACCUAAUCAGAAAGCCACGGCUAACUACGUG
rnacentral:rRNA from 1 species